GGAAGGAUCAAACUUUGGGACAUCAUCUCCAGGUCACAGCUGGAGUAGUCCUUUUGCUCCUCGGAUGUCUGGUGCGUCCAGCCGACCUUUGCGUCCGCCUUAGAUGCUCUAAUCUGAAAAAAAGAACAUCAAAAUCAAGUCUUCCUUCCUCUGGAUUUCAAAGCGCCGCUCGAACCCAUCCUUGGGCCGCCACAUGUCCGCCAACAACAAGGGGCACUCCCACGGGGCCACGUUUCUCCGACACUCCGUCUCCCACUUGAUAGCUCCAUCUGGCUGUUGGAUGGGCUUUCCGAUGACAUCACACAGCAGGAAGUCCUCGGGGAUGUGUUUCUGGAGAACUAGAAGGUGAUGGAGGAAGGGUGGUGGUGCUGUUUAUGUUUACGCUAUGUCGGAGUUGGGA